rnacentral:rRNA from 1 species
AUUGAACGCUGGCGGCAUGCUUUACACAUGCAAGUCGGACGGCAGCACAGAGAAGCUUGCUUCUUGGGUGGCGAGUGGCGAACGGGUGAGUAACAUAUCGGAACGUACCGAGCAGUGGGGGAUAACUAAUCGAAAGAUUAGCUAAUACCGCAUAUCUUCUGAGGAAGAAAGCAGGGGACCAUUUGGCCUUGCGCUGUUUGAGCGGCCGAUAUCUGAUUAGCUAGUUGGUGGGGUAAAGGCCUACCAAGGCGACGAUCAGUAGCGGGUCUGAGAGGAUGAUCCGCCACACUGGGACUGAGACACGGCCCAGACUCCUACGGGAGGCAGCAGUGGGGAAUUUUGGACAAUGGGCGAAAGCCUGAUCCAGCCAUGCCGCGUGUCUGAAGAAGGCCUUCGGGUUGUAAAGGACUUUUGUCAGGGAAGAAAAGGGCGGGGUUAAUACCCCCUGUUCUGAUGA